rnacentral:rRNA from 1 species
UGAGGAAUAUUGGUCAAUGGGCGAGAGCCUGAACCAGCCAAGUAGCGUGCGGGAUGAAGGCCCUAUGGGUUGUAAACCGCUUUUACAGGGGGAUAAAGUGAGUCACGCGUGAUUCAUUGCAGGUACCCUGCGAAUAAGGACCGGCUAAUUCCGUGCCAGCAGCCGCGGUAAUACGGAAGGUCCGGGCGUUAUCCGGAUUUAUUGGGUUUAAAGGGAGCGUAGGCGGGCUAUUAAGUCAGCUGUGAAAUCCGGCGGCUCAACCGUCGGCCUGCAGUUGAUACUGGUGGUCUUGAGUGCGCGCAGGGGUGUUGGAAUUCAUGGUGUAGCGGUGAAAUGCUCAGAUAUCAUGAAGAACUCCGAUCGCGAAGGCAGAUGCCCGGAGCGCAACUGACGCUGAGGCUCGAAAGUGCGGGUAUCAAACAGGAUUAGAUACCCUGGUAGU